GUGGGGAAUAUUGGGCAAUGGGGGCAACCCUGACCCAGCGACGCCGCGUGAGGGAAGAAGGCCUUAGGGUCGUAAACCUCUGUUGUGUGGGAAGAAGGAAGUGACGGUACCACACGAGGAAGUCCCGGCUAACUACGUGCCAGCAGCCGCGGUAAUACGUAGGGGACGAGCGUUGUCCGGAAUUACUGGGCGUAAAGGGCGCGUAGGCGGUCAUUUAAGUCAGCUGUGAAAUGGUCCGGCUCAACCGGAUCAUGCGGUUGAAACUGGAUGACUGGAGUGCUGGAGAGGCAAGUGGAAUUCCCAGUGUAGCGGUGAAAUGCGUAGAUAUUGGGAAGAACACCGGUGGCGAAGGUGACUUGCUGGCCAGCAACUGACGCUGAGGCGCGAAAGCCAGGGGAGCAAACGGGAUUAGAAACCCCUGUAGUCC
rnacentral:rRNA from 1 species